CAAUAGCGUAUAUUAAAGUUGUUGCAGUUAAAAAGCUCGUAGUUGGAUUUGUGGUGUACUUCGGCGGCCCGUCACUAUGUGAUGGAGCUUGCUGAAGUCGCCAUCCUUGGGUGGAUCCUGUGUGGCAUUAAGUUGUCGUGCAGGGGAUGCCCAUCGUUUACUGUGAAAAAAUUAGAGUGUUCAAAGCAGGCUUAUGCCGUUGAAUAUAUUAGCAUGGAAUAAUAAGAUAGGACCUUGGUACUAUUUUGUUGGUUUGCGCACCAAGGUAAUGAUUAAUAGGGACAGUUGGGGGUAUUCGUAUUUCAUUGUCAGAGGUGAAAUUCUUGGAUUUUUGAAAGACGAACUACUGCGAAAGCAUUUACCAAGGAUGUUUNCAUUA
rnacentral:rRNA from 1 species